CACAUGACCCAGCUUGUUUACACCUGCGACGAGCAGCGGGUACGCAGAGGACCCGUCAGUGUACUGCUGGACGACACCGCUUACGCCGAGCGACAACCUAACGCUGGGAAAGGGUUACCUUCUCUAAGGUCCAGCAGAGACCUUGUUAAACCCAACGCUGGACGAUGUGUCAUCGGACCAUUUACGACGGCAGAUAUGUUGCAAGACGUGAAUGGACUUAUGUGAACUGAUCAACUUAACGAUUGUCUUGCAUCUUGUCUGUUAUGCUCUUGAGCUCAGUGUGAUAGUGGAUGGGGUGGUAUCAUAGGUUUCAUGAUAACAUUGUUUCUGCAACAUGAAUUGCAGAUCUUUAACUUACCUAAAAGCAAAUCACCUGACCUUGUUGUUGCAUGUCGGGUUACUUGUUUCUAAGAUAUUGUAGUGUAUGUGUAUGUGUGUACUGUGUAAGUUACUACAAUAUCUAAUUGUAUUCAUCAUCAAUCAAAAAAAAAAAGAAUUAAUUCAGUGUUAUUCCUUGUGGUUAUACCAACCAGGCCAGGCUGAACUAUACUGUGGACAUUAAAUUCAUAAGAUUUGAAUAUUUCUCCAGAUAAAAUAACAAAUAGUCAAAAUAAAUCGCAAGCUACAGGUCAUUCCUUGUGCAUCAAAGUACAACAUGAAGUCAAAAUGAUGAUCAAUCAGACUAAGCGUGAAUUGUUUUUUUUAUUGUUCAUAGGCAUUUUUAUGUAUGCAUAUGUAUUAAAUACAGGUCCUGUGAUCUUCCCAAGCCGUCUGUCCUAAGAGGCCAGUCCAUCCUCAGCCAUCCAUCUCUUCUCUCAGACACCAUGGACGAGACAGAUGUGGAACGUGAGUAAUUAUACAAUUGUAUCGUUGGGACUUUCUUUGAGACUAAGGCUUAAUAAAAAAUAAUAUGUCCGAGCGGUUUGCAUUCAGGGAUGUUGUCAAGGUGAGAUGUGGGAAAAAUAUGAAGAUUUCUUGGCGAAGUGGGUUGUUUCCCUAUUGACCUGAAUACAAUCUAUCAAAGAAAAUAUAUAUCAACAAUAUAUUUGAAAAGGGCACUAAGUUCUAUGGCUAUAGGAAUAACCGUAAUGCACGUCCUCCACAUGGGCUUCAGAGACAAGCCAUUGGGAUUGGUACCCAGGAUAUGCCAUUAUCGAUCGCUGAUCACACCAUUACUUCAUAAUGUAUGGCAUGCAUGUCUUUUUUUGUUUCCUUGGUCCUGUACGCUGCUAUGAUGCUGUAACACAGUUACAGUCUUAACUGGGUUAACACGGUCACAUUAAGCUGUAGCAAAACGGCAUAUGACAUUCCCUAGUCCUUUCCCCAGGACUAUAUUGAACCUUAAAAAACUCAAGCCCUAUCUCUCACAUGUUUGAAUGGGUCUUUUUUUUAAACCAUUCUCUGUUGAUAUGCACCCUUUCGGACCAGUGCAUUGAUUCUACAUGGACACCUUCAAGCCCAUGAAUGAAUGUUUCAGGAAUUUCUUAUUUAAUUGGCCACACAGCCCAGGGAGACUGUGAGUGCAUGUUAGAAGCGUCUUAGAGUACCAUAUUAAGCGCUAUAUACAUUUUAUUUAUUAUUAUUAUUAUUAUUAUUAUGUUGCGAUGCACACUUUAUGUUCACCUCAAGAACGCAUGUGUUACAAAUGACUCAGGAAGUGAACUCCCUUACAUGUCUGAAAUCCCAGUCAGGCUGUAGUAUCUUGUCUCAAGAUACACACUUGGGUGUUGUUUGCCCCUGCCUUGCACUGUGUUGAAUUGUAUCCUAUUUUCCAUUUUUUAAUUA
rnacentral:lncRNA from 1 species